rnacentral:rRNA from 1 species
GAUGAACGCUAGCGGCAGGCCUAAUACAUGCAAGUCGAACGGUAAACGGCCCUUCGGGGCUGUGAGAGUGGCGCACGGGUGCGUAACGCGUAUGCAACCUACCCAAUGCUGGAGGAUAGCCCGGAGAAAUUCGGAUUAACCCUCCAUGAGGAGCCGAUGGGGCAUCCCAAUGGUUUCAAAUAUUCAUAGGCGUUGGAUGGGCAUGCGUGCUAUUAUAUAGUUGGCGGGGUAACGGCCCACCAAGUCGACGAUAGCUAGGGGAUCUGAGAGGACGGUCCCCCACACUGGUACUGAGACACGGACCAGACUCCUACGGGAGGCAGCAGUAAGGAAUAUUGGGCAAUGGAGGCAACUCUGACCCAGCCAUGCCGCGUGAAGGAUGGAGGCCCUACGGGUCGUAAACUUCUUUUGUCAGGGAAUAAAGUCGCCUACGUGUAGGCGUUUGCAGGUACCUGAAGAAUAAGCAUCGGCUAACUCCGUGCCAGCCGCCGCAGUAAAAC